rnacentral:rRNA from 1 species
AUUGAACGCUGGCGGCAGGCUUAACACAUGCAAGUCGAGCGGGGAGAUGUAGCUUGCUACAUUUCCUAGCGGCGAACGGGUGAGUAAUGCUUAGGAAUCUGCCUAUUAGUGGGGGACAACAUUCCGAAAGGAAUGCUAAUACCGCAUACGCCCUACGGGAGAAAGCAGGGGAUCUUCGGACCUUGCGCUAAUAGAUGAGCCUAAGUCAGAUUAGCUAGUUGGUGGGGUAAAGGCCUACCAAGGCGACGAUCUGUAGCGGGUCUGAGAGGAUGAUCCGCCACACUGGGACUGAGACACGGCCCAGACUCCUACGGGAGGCAGCAGUGGGGAAUAUUGGACAAUGGGCGCAAGCCUGAUCCAGCCAUACCGCGUGUGUGAAGAAGGCCUUUUGGUUGUAAGGCACUUUAAGCGAGGAGGAGGCUACUUGGAUUAAUACUCUAGGAUAGUGGACGUUACUCGCAGAAUAAGCACCGGCUAACUCUGUGCCAGCAGCCGCGGUAAUACAGAGGGUGCGAGCGUUAAUCGGAUUUACUGGGCGUAAAGCGUGCGUAGGCGGCUUUUUAAGUCGGAUGUGAAAUCCCUGAGCUUAACUUAGGAAUUGCAUUCGAUACUGGGAAGCUAGAGUAUGGGAGAGGAUGGUAGAAUUCCAGGUGUAGCGGUGAAAUGCGUAGAGAUCUGGAGGAAUACCGAUGGCGAAGGCAGCCAUCUGGCCUAAUACUGACGCUGAGGUACGAAAGCAUGGGGAGCAAACAGGAUUAGAUACCCUGGUAGUCCAUGCCGUAAACGAUGUCUACUAGCCGUUGGGGCCUUUGAGGCUUUAGUGGCGCAGCUAACGCGAUAAGUAGACCGCCUGGGGAGUACGGUCGCAAGACUAAAACUCAAAUGAAUUGACGGGGGCCCGCACAAGCGGUGGAGCAUGUGGUUUAAUUCGAUGCAACGCGAAGAACCUUACCUGGUCUUGACAUAGUAAGAACUUUCCAGAGAUGGAUUGGUGCCUUCGGGAACUUACAUACAGGUGCUGCAUGGCUGUCGUCAGCUCGUGCCGUGAGAUGUUGGGUUAAGUCCCGCAACGAGCGCAACCCUUUUCCUUAUUUGCCAGCGGGUUAAGCCGGGAACUUUAAGGAUACUGCCAGUGACAAACCGGAGGAAGGCGGGGACGACGUCAAGUCAUCAUGGCCCUUACGACCAGGGCUACACACGUGCUACAAUGGUCGGUACAAAGGGUUGCUACCUAGCGAUAGGAUGCUAAUCUCAAAAAGCCGAUCGUAGUCCGGAUUGGAGUCUGCAACUCGACUCCAUGAAGUCGGAAUCGCUAGUAAUCGCGGAUCAGAAUGCCGCGGUGAAUACGUUCCCGGGCCU